ensembl:lncRNA
CCCCGUGGCCGCGGGAUCGGGGGCGGCUGCCCUUGGCGCACGGCACCCGGCGCUGCUCGGUGCCCGUUGCUGCCCGGUGCCACGUGGGCCGGUGGCUCCGCGCUGUGCUGCCCUGGGCCGUCCCCCGCAACCCUCCCAGGCCGCUUCCUUGGAGGCUUUUCGCGGAUCCCCCCUCCGCGCUUGCUUCCUGCGGUGCCCUCGUCCCGCGCGGGGCCCGGCGGGGCGCUGGGCUCCGUGGGGCUCGGUGCGCUCAGCGCCGUCCCGUGGCACCGCGCCGCGCUCCGCUCGCGGCCGUGGCCGUCCCGGUGCCGGCAGCGCUGUGGGAGCUGCCUUCUCCCGCUCUAACUUUAGCACCCGCAGCUGUGGUGCAACGGGAGCUCCUCGCCGCGUGGUAUAAAUACAUCUGUGCGCUGCCCAAAAUACACCGGGCGCGGUGACACCCCCGCGGUGCCGGGCUGCAGCCGGCGCUGCUCCCGCGGUGCCGCCGCAUGGGGACGCGGUGCCGUCCCUUGGCCCCGGCUGCUGCCUUCCCCUUUUGGCCAUUUGUGGGUUGAGGUUUCCUGGCCGGCCGCUCUCAUGCCCUGCGGUGCCGUCCCCGGGCCACCCUCCCCCCCCCGCCCCCGGGUCCCACUGGUUCUUGCACGGCGGAAGCACAAAUGGGCACGGGACGUGUUCUGGGCACAGUGGGUGCAGAGGGGGCCCGGUGCUGUCCCUGCCCCCCGUCCCUUGCUCCUGCCCUGACCCUGACCGCCAUCCCCACGCGCUGGCUCUGCCCACCCCGUGCCCCACAGGGCUGUGCUGAUGCCCUCAGCCCUGGGGGGUGGUGGUUCUGGGACUGAGGAUCCCGGGGACAGGGACCAGGCCCCACGCCCUCGGUCUCGUGCAGGGCCUGGGGGAGCUGUGGUGUGGGAGCAGGCGCUGAGCACAUGGAGAUCUGUGCUGGGGGUGCUGGGACGUGGCUGCUCCCUGUGCCCGGUGCAGCUCUCGCGAUGCCCUCGGGUGCCCCCGUGCUCAGCUCCAGGUUCAAAGUGCGGCUCUGGGUGUGGAGCAGCGCUGUGUCACAGCCCUCCUCCACUCCACGCUUCCUUGUUCGCCUCAGCUCCUGUCCUGCCCCAGCUCCCAGCAGCCUCGCCUUCCUGGUGCCUCCAGCAGAGGCAGUUCUGGGACCCCCUUUCCUUGGUCCUACUCAGAGCCCUCUCAUCCAUUGCCCUGCGCUGGGACACGGUGGUGCCACUGGGUUCCAGCUGUGCCCGUGAGGUCUCGCUCUCAGGCACCCACGGAGCUGCCCGCAGGAGGCUGGGUGCGGUGCGGGGCUGUGCUGAGGCAGGAGCAGUGCUGGGGGUGCUGGGGUGCUGAUGGAAUGGCGCUGAGUUGGUGCCGGGGUAGUGCCGGGGUGGUGUCAGAAUGGUGCUGAGAUGGUUCUAGGGUGGUGCUGGGGUGAUGCUGGAGUGGUGGUGAAAUGGUGCCCGGUUGGUUCUGGGGAGGUGCUGAGGUGGUAUUGGAAUGGUGGGAUGGUACUGGGGUGGUGUUGGAGUGGUACUGGAGUGGUGCUGGGAUGGUGCCGUGGUGGUGCCAGAUGGUGCUGGGCUGGUGCUGGGAUGGUGCUGCUGCCCCUUCCCUGCGC